CCUCAAUUCGUGGCCCAGCCCGUCGCCGGGUGUGGGAAACGCACUACUAUGAGGUCCACACUCACGUCGUCUCACAGAGACGUCUCACUCAUCACACUCCGGGAUCCCAACCCCGACCGAGCGGGCCCCACUGCCUCGAACGGAGCAACCUCAGUAACCCCGAAGGACCACUGAAAGGUUACCAGAAGAUAAAGAGAUAACCAGAGCAACCAAAAAGACUUCGGGAAACAGCUUGUAAAAGAUAAAGGAAUGAAAAUCUUAUCAACAGACCAGCUGAAACCUGAAACAGGACCUUCAGUGUCUGAGCCAAAAGAGCUGUUCUAUACCUGGGCUUCUGCCACAAGUAUCCCUUAUGCAGCUGGCAGGCUCCAGCUCAGGAGAGCACACAGGAUAACCACUCCUCCCGAGGACAGCGCUCAACGUCAUUUUUCACUCAAAGUAUUAACAGAAAUCCUGAAAGGAAGAAAGUUUCCAUAUGUUGGGGCCAAAUAAAACAGCCAGGUUUUGAAACAGAA